rnacentral:rRNA from 1 species
GAACCGUCCAAACGUUAUUCGGAAUCAUUGGGCUUAAAGGGUGCGUAGGCGGGUGCGGUAAGUUGGGGUGUGAAAACCCUCGGCUUAACCGAGGAAUUGCGCCCAAUACUGUCGCACUGGAGGGAGACGGAGGUAAGCGGAACUGAUGGUGGAGCGGUGAAAUGCGUUGAUAUCAUCAGGAACACCAGUGGCGAAGGCGGCUUACUGGGUCUCUUCUGACGCUGAGGCACGAAAGCUAGGGUAGCGAACGGGAUUAGAUACCCCGGUAGUCCUAGCUGUAAACGAUGAGCACUUGGUCGGAGACUCCUCCAUAGGUUUCCGGCCGUAGCGAAAGUGUUAAGUGCUCCGCCUGGGGAGUAUGGUCGCAAGGCUG